rnacentral:rRNA from 1 species
AUUGAACGCUGGCGGCAUGCUUUACACAUGCAAGUCGAACGGUAACAGGUUAAGCUGACGAGUGGCGAACGGGUGAGUAAUGCAUCGGAACGUGCCCGAUCGUGGGGGAUAACGCAGCGAAAGCUGCGCUAAUACCGCAUACGAUCUGAGGAUGAAAGCGGGGGACCGUAAGGCCUCGCGCGAUCGGAGCGGCCGAUGUCAGAUUAGGUAGUUGGUGGGGUAAAGGCUCACCAAGCCGACGACCUGUAGCUGGUCUGAGAGGACCGACCAGCCACACUGGGACUGAGACACGGCCCAGACUCCUACGGGAGGCAGCAGUGGGGAAUUUUGGACAAUGGGCGAAAGCCUGAUCCAGCAAUGCCACGUGCAGGAAGAAGGCCUUCGGGUUGUAAACUGCUUUUGUACGGAGCGAAAAGGCUCUCUCUAAUACAGGGGGCUCAUGACGGUACCGUAAGAAUAAGCACCGGCUAACUACGUGCCAGCAGCCGCCGUAAUAC